CCAGUUUCACGCCAAGAAUGUUUUCUUUAAUCAACGGGGCGCGAGCGUCGUCGAAGCGGACAACUUUGGAAAAUCUAGAGCUAAUACGUGCAAAAGGGCGCCGCCGCUUGCCGGGAGGCGCGCAUUUAUCAGCCAUCGCGUCGGCCGGGUCGCGCCUCGGUGCGGCCCGUCGUCCGUGGCGACUCUGGAUAACUAUUGCGGAUCGCCGAUCCUUUGCCGAUCGGCGACGAACCAUUCGAGCGUCUGACCUAUCAACUGUAGUCGGUACGGUCUCGGCCUACCGAGGUGCUUACGGGUGACGGGGAAUCGGGGUCCGAUUCCGGAGAGGGAGCCCGAGAAACGGCUGCCACUUCCAAGGAAGGCAGCAGGCGCGCAAAUUACCCACUUCAGACUCUGAGAGGUAGUGACGAAAAAUAGCGGCGCCGGGCCUUAACGGGCGUCGGCGAUCGCAAUGAGCUCGGCGAAAAACACCGGCUUCGGUCGCGCGUUGUAAAAGGCGCGCGGCCGUUGCGAGUAUCGAACGGAGGGCAAGUCUGGUGCCAGCAGCCGCGGUAAUUCCAGCUCCGUGAGUGUAUGCUUAAGCUGUUGCGGUUAAAAAGCUCGUAGUCGAAAGCAGGCUUUUUGAUCGCGGGCGCGCGCGCGUCCGGGACGCUUCCCGGCGCCGCCGCCGGCCAAGAGGCCAACGAUCGCGGUCGACGGGCGCGCCGCUCGGGUCGGCCCCGCUUCGCGGCGGGGUCGGCUUGGCGCGUCGACGGUCGGCUCGCGCUUUGCCCUGACCAAAUCGAAGUGCAUCAGGGCGGGUCGAAUACGCGACGCGGGCGCGCGAGCGCUCGCGCAAGACCCAGAACGAUGUCGCACGGAA
rnacentral:rRNA from 1 species